UUUUUAUUGGAUGUUGAUCGUCACGGGUCGUGCUUUUAUUGGAGAUUGACCUUAAUUAGGUGCACAAAAUUAACGUUCAAUAAAAACGCAACAUGUGAUGAUCAACAUCC
rfam:Glycine soja cultivar W05 scaffold5673_33, whole genome shotgun sequence.